UGCUGUAGUUUAUCUUCUCUGUUUCUGAUUAUUUCUCUUCUACCACUUCCUCUUCAGCUGUCCAAAAUUUCUGAGCCCACUCCUUCUCAUUCCAGGAAGGGGCACAUUUAAUUUUUGCAGCAGUCACCUAUGGCAAUCCCAUCUGUGGUGCAAAUUUUCUGCCACAUUAAAGUGUAAAUACCCGAAUUGGUGCUGUGGGUGCAGUUGUGUUUGAAUGCGCUCCUGUGGCCAUGGUGAAAGAAGGUAGUCAUGCCCAAAUGAGAAAUCUCGUGUCUAGCUUACAGAAUAGUGCUCUUUCCUGAAGCCACAGAUUAUAGAUUCCUUUGGAUUGCAGGUGAUAAAUACACUGUCUGCUGAGCAUGUGUGUGUUCUGGUUUCUCCUGAGACAGAGUUGAUCUUUUUUCCUUCAAAAUGUCUGGUAUGAUGCUACGUGUUGGCUUUGGGAAAAGAACCAUGAUGAAAACACAGCAAUGUUUUUGUUGUUGCUGAGUAGCGCUGUAGGGAGCCAAGGACAUUUCAACUUCUUAUACUGUCCCACCAAUGAAGAAUGCUGAGGGGGACACAAGGAGCAGACAGGGGAGAUAAUCAGGACAGCUGAUCUAAACUGGCAAAAGGGAUAUUUCACACCACAUGAUAUAAUGCAACAACAACAACAACAACAAAGCAUUAAAACCUGUGGGAAGUUGGCAGGGGGUAGGGGAACAGCAGCUGCUCAGGGACUGGAUGGACUUCGGUCAGUGAGUGAUCAGCAAUUGCAUUGCUCUUCAGUCAUUUUGGAAACAGAUAUAAUAUUGUUAUAAUUACUAUGAUUUUCUUUUUCUUUUUCUAUCCUGUAUUUGUAUCUCUCAUUUUGGAAACAAGUAGUAUUAUAAUUACUGUUAUUUGGCUUUUCUCUUCCUUUUCUAUAUUGUUAAAUAGGUUUUAUCUCAACACACAAGUUGUAAUUUGCUUUUUUUUUCCAGUUCUCUCCUCCAUCCCAGUGGGAGUGAGCAAAUGUGUGGAGCUUAGCUGCCUGCUGGGUUUAAAUGACAGUAGUCUUUCUGGCACCCAGAGUGGGGAUUGAAGGGUAGAGAUAAUGGCAGACCUGGCCAGAGAGUGUUAAAAUUGUUAUCAACAUUGAAGUAGUUAAAUAAUUGGUGAUCACGAUGUUGUUUUUCAAUUACUUUUUAGAGUUUUUUCAGAAUCUUAUCUGGGAACUAUAUCAUUUAGCAACUCACUUGCUAUACAUGUUCCCUGUUGUACCGCUUAUCAUCUCUGGAUAGUUAUGAAUGGCAGAGAGUGUGGCAUAGUAUGGGCAGGUGCCCAAAGCGGUGGACUCCCUCAGUGUUUUGGAAUUUCACUUCUGAACAACUGCAGAAUCCUGAAAAACUAGCAAAAUAUUUGGAAAAGGUCUGCUGUGAGCCUGGCAGUUCUAGAGAGGCACAAAACACUGCAGUGUGCUGUGGGCUGGCCCAUGCCAACACUAUUUGGCACUCUCAAAGGAAAGAGAAUGAAUGCCUCUGGAUCUGAUGACAAUGAGAUGGGCCCUGUGGCCAGUCCAAUCCCUGCAAUAGGCCCUGUGGUCAGGGCCUUGCAGUUCAGCCACAGAAUCAACCUGUGCCAGUAUCAGUUAUGUCUACACAUAAGAGAAAAAAAUGUCUGAUCGUUUAGUGAGGAAAGAAAUUCCUACAUAGAUGGAAGAAGAGAUGAAAAUGAGGCAUGACUGUCACAAGAAUGAGAGGAGGGAGAGGAAGAGGACAUAAAGGAGGCAAUAACUGUCCUACCCCUAACCAUGUGCAAGCUAUGAGAAAUGCGAUGGGAUUUCAUCUGUUGUCCAGGUGAGCACAUUGUGCCUUGGCUGCUCCAGUUCUGGGAGACUGGGGUUAGUAGCCUGAACUUAGCGGGCAGUGAAGCCAGGCAGCUGGGAUCUCUUUUUAAGGAAGACGCCAUUGGCUAAACAAUUGGAAAACGGACACAGGUCUUCACUCUGUGGAGGCAACUCUUGACAGCCAUGAGAGGAAGACAUCCCUUCAAGGACCUGGUACAUUACCCAGGCAACUGAACUACCAUGGAGAAAUAUAUCCAAUACCUGAGGGAAUUAGAUGUACUGGGGGUGAUGUAUAAUGUUGACCUGAACAGUGAUCAGUUAUCCCAAGAUCCACUUGACAUUUGUGAGAGGUAGAUUUUUUUUUUUGCAGUGGAAACUUCCAGUACUUUUGUAUGUAGUGUAGAACAAGUUGUUUUUCACAAAGGAAGCUGCUGAACAAAGUAAAGCUGAGACUGGGGCGUUCUGCCCUGGGUAGAACUGGCACAGGCACAAGGUAAGGUAAAUAUGCAGGGGAGGGAGAGCCUGGCACAGGACAGAACGAAUGUGCUACCUUCUGGAAACAUUGCCCUCCUGUCUCCAUGGAAAAGUACAAAACAUACCUAAAAACAGUAGGUUGAUAACAGAUCUUAUAUGAAAAUGUAUCAUAGCAACAGCGUCGGGAAGAUUGUGAGCCUGAGACACUCAGCCAGUGAGUGCCAGGAGAGAGGUUACCUGUGUCAGACCCAAGGUGUAGAAUGCUGUGGAUUUCACUGACUAGUUGCUCAGUUUCUCCCUUGUGCUCACUGCUCAUGUGGCGAAGAUUUGUAAGGAGAGCACCAUGAUCAUAUGCCAACCCAAUAACAGCAACAGCCUGGAAAGACGGAGAUCAGCCAGUGGUGGAUGAAAUGGCUAGCCUACUUUGACAAUAUGAAGAAAAUCUCUCUGCAUCCCUACAGGCCUGUGCCUCAGCUCUGGAGAAACUGUCCUGGGAGUGCUAGCAAUUAAAAGACAGUAUGUCCUACUCCACACCUUUACAGACCAGUAUCUCAGCUAUUAGAAGGAACUCCUGGAGUGACACACACACGAGCAAACUGGAAGGCCAUGUGUGGUAGCAGAAGUUGCAGCCUAUGGUUAGUCACCACAUGCUGGGAGUAAGAGCUCUUGGGGGACAGUCUGCCCAGUCUCUAAGCUGAAAGACAAGGUGUGAGAACAGGACCCCUCUGGACUGACAGUGGGACGAACAGGUGAACACAUGGUGACUGUUUAGAAGAUAUGUCAAAUUUUUCAUAAAACGUAAGAUUUAAAGCCUUUUUGCUUUCUCUCCUCUUCUGCAACAGCUAGAUCUUUAAAGUGGACUGCAGAUGAUAAAUCUGGGUGUAAAAAUAACGAAACGUUGUUCUGGCAUGGCUUCUCGACACUGCAGAUGCUAUUUAUAUGAAAUGUCGCUGAUGGGGCCAGCGCGCCAAAAGUACUUACCGAAAUCAGCCUCUUCAGGCCUACCUUCACGGUGCCAACACAACGCUUCCUUUGACUUUGGUUUUAGCCAAAACCCGGAAUCAUGGGUUAGCCUCAGCAUUAGGGCUCUUGUCUACUGAUUCCUGUCUGUACACUGAUGAUGGUUUCUGUGCACAUCUGUAUGACCAAGGUUGUCCUCCUGCAGCUGUAUCCAGGGAGGAUAAAGAACUGGCGAACACUAAGAUUCACGGGCAUGGGGAGGCAGAGAGAAGAGUUUUGUUCUUGGCUUUGCUGCAGUGAGUGGGUGUGUAAUCUUCAGCAAACCAUUCUGGUGGGAAAGCUCUGCUGCUCCUCUAGCCCCUCAGAGGGCUGGAGGGAGGAAGCAGGAUGAGAAAGAUUCCGGGUAAGACAAAAGAUAAGGAUGAUCACCUACUGGUUACUGUCUUGGGCAAAACAGGCCCAAUCUGUUGAAAAUCGAUUUAAUGUCUUGCCAAUUAAAGUAGAUUUGGAUAGUGAGAAAGGCAGACAAAAAUUAAAAGAGCACUUCCUCCGGCUCCUUUCUUUGCCAGGCUCAGUCCUACUCCUUCAUCCUGUUUUUGUGCCUCCUCCCUGCUCCUCCCCACUCCUCUGAGAUAACUACCAGGUUGUAAAGCCUGCAGCAGACCUGCUGUGCUGCCAUAACCCACCUUGUUUGCAGGUCAUUGCAUGGCAUGAGUUGAAUUGUAUCACUACUGGCAAAGAGGACUAUUUCUAUCAACCACAUAAUAAAAUGAAAAUACGUAGAAAAUAUGCAGUAUUCUUCAAGUAAUUGCACGAGAGCUCUGUCUGUGUAUGAUUUGUCUGCAACUAUUCUGCAGGAAUCUCAUGUAGGCAUCCUGCGUAGAAGACAUCUCACAAAAAGAUAACUUGUAUUCAAAUCCCGCAGCAUGCAGGAACUGUUAGGGCCAUUGAAUACAUGCUGCUGCUUGAAUUUGAGUUAGUGAUAGUUUAGAUUUUAUUGUGAUAGAGAUCCUUACAACUAAAAAAAGCUGAAGCAAUAACUGAAUCUUCCCUAAGACACCUGACAAAUCUUUUGACUUUUGGAAAACUUCAAGGGACGUGACCCCAGAUCUGAUAUUUACGUUCUUUUUAAGCACCAUCUUUAAAAUAAAUCCAGGCAAAACUAUUUAUUGCCAAACUGCUGGGCACUGCACAAGGCAAUCCGUAUCAGGUCUGACAGGUGCUUUUCAGCAAGCAGUAUUAUCACCAUUUUUUUCUGAUCUCUCUCUGUACUUGUAGGAUGUUUUCUGUCUCACUGAUUAGAUAUUUCUCAGGGCACUAUGGUGUCAGUUUCUUCCAAAAAAACAACUUCCAAGUCUCAAGUAUUGUACCUCAGCAUUAAUCACAUAAAUUCUCUUUUUUUUCAUAAAAUUGUCAGCUGCAGAAAAGGAGGAAGGACAACAGCUGUCUCUGUCCUUUGCUAAGUUUGCUUUGACGAAAUGCCAUUCGAGAGCCGGAUUUCUAAAAAUUAACUUCUGAAUGGUUAUGUAAAAGGGGACCAUGAGAGUGUAUUUGAUCUUGGUAAUCAUCUUAAUAAUGAUAAAUCUGAAUGUACCCAGGAAGUUUUACCUACUCCCUGGAGAUACAAUGUUCAAAUACUCUGUGUCAAAUUGAGAUAAAGUGACUGUCAGUGUUCUUUUUAUUAAUACAGGAAUUUAUGUGCUUUUCCUGGAAGAAUAAAGGUUUGCUUCUGUGGCAGUCCUAAAAGAUGUCAGCAUGACAUAUUAGAACCUGAGGACAUCUUCAAACCUAAGAAACUUGUUUUUCUUAUGGACGUGUAGUGUCAGAUAGUAAGAUGAAGUUUCCUUUGAAUUUUGUUUUGCAGCUUCUCUUCCCUUUUUGUUUCCAGAUAUAUGAAUAUGGUGCCAGGUUAUCCAGUGUGUAAGCCAGCUUCAAUUAAAUGGAUGGUAUCAUUAGCAGAAGCUAGCAUUGAUUAAGAUCUCUCAUACUCUUUCAAGUCUGAAGAGAGAGUACUGAUCUGUUUGUCUUUUUUUCCUUCUUUUGCCCCUUCCCCUUUACCCACCCCUACUUCCUAUGGGGCGCUGGCUGAGUUUAGUGUCAGACCCUGCUAAAGAAAAAACUGUGACAAAGACUUGGCAGUUAAUAAGAGAUGUACUGAAAAGAAACCUGCUGCAGGGAAGCAAAAAGCACAUGCUGUACUCCUUGAGAAUGAGAUGAGGUUCUUCACUGCAUCUGUUUGCCCUGUGACUUUGGACAACUCAGUGCAGGGGUUCUGUACCCCAGGAGAACAGCACUGCUGUAUGGGGAGUAGGUUACUCUUCUUUAAUGAGGGUGAAGGAUUGUGCUCCUCACACCUGUCUCUAUAUUAAAAUACACAAAUAAUGUAGACCUUUGUUUUUGUGGAGCAUUUUUGACUCUGAAUAAAAACUUAAAUUACCAAACUCAUACCUACAAUCCUUCACCAUGUAAAAAUACACACAUCUGUGUCUCUAUUCACAAACAAAGUAGUAGUAUUUUGUUUCUUGCUGUAUCCACUAGGAGUGUUUUUACCUAAACUCUUAUAAGAUUGGUCCUAUAUAAUCUGCUGUAUGUUAGUCUUGCUAAAAUACCAUCACUUCAAUAAACCAAUCUUUCAUGAAAAUGAUAGAAGCUUUUAAUAUGCUCAUCUGCUAUAGUGUAAGUAAUCCUUGGGGGAGGGAUAGAGUUACACAUAAAACAGCGCUGGCCUACCAGUUUGCUUACACUGCUUUGUCCUUCCUUAGGUGUUGAGGGAGCAUUUGAUGAGAAGGAUCUGUGUUGAUGCUGAUCUGCUAAGGCAGUGGUAGCACAGGAUCUGGAUGGUAACAAAUCCUCAUCCCUGCUGAUAAUCAUGCCUUCUCUUGCCCACAGAACAUCUCUGUUGGGAACCUGGGAGAAAACUCGAGUGAAAGUGAUUUACUGGGUCACAGAGUCCAAUCUACUGUAUUCACAGUCAGCUCCUCCUUCCAAUGCCCAGCCAGCACCAACAGCUCCAUUCACUCUGGAGUAUCUCCCGAAGAGAAUUUGCCAAAGGAAAUACUGCAGAGCACAUUCAUAGUUCUUCAGUACCCCCUCUUACUGCUCCUAGUGCUGAUAGAACUGUCAACAGUUUUCUUUACUUUGCCCAUGUUCUUUCACAUUUACCUCCUGAAGAAGGCUGAGCUGACCAUCCUUCAGACAAUUUCUGCUGCUUUUUCUCUGACAUCCAACAAGUACAGUCUGAUUGUAUCUCUACUGGGUCUCUCAGUAGUGAUUAAAAACUUUGAGUAAGGUCACACCUCAAGUGACCCAAGACAGGACUUGGCACCAAAAGAUUGAUAUGUGUUCUCUUUCUGCCUUCAGAGUUCUGCCUCAGGGAAAGGGUCAUACUGUCCCUGUCAGGCCCUGUCCAUGCACCAUACGGAGAUCAUUCUUGCCCAGGAGAGUUAUUCAAGUAUAACUCAAACAAAUGAGCAGGUGCAACAAACAGGAGAGUGAAAUUGAAACAGCAGUGGAAUGAUAUUGGCUCGCAAAAUAAACAAAGGUCAAAGCACACCAACUCCUCUCCUGCAGAGCCUACAAAUCACUUAACAAUGGCUGGAAUGAGUUUAAAAGUGUUUGAAGAAAAGUUAUUACUGUUGCUAUGGUUUCUGAGCAUUUGGAAUAGAAUAGAUUCCAACUGUGUUCACAUCUUUUUUAAUAACUCACUGGCUAUUACAGUCCAAGGCUCCUUUAUUCAAAAGUAUUUAUAUUUUUGAACCAAAUUUCCAAUGGCUGAAGAAGCACCCAUGUUUAUAAUUGGGAGGCAGAAUAACUGCUGCCAAAGCUCAAGGAAAAGCAGCUGUGCUGGAAAGCUUUCCAUGAACCAGUGGUACUUUAUUUCUUUUCUGAAGAAAUGUGACUCAAAGCUGCCAUGACUUGUGAUAUUUUCUUCCUGUAAACUCAUGGAAAAAUUGCUACUUUUGAGGUGGUAAUGCAUCAAAUAAAAAAUAAUGUUCCCAGGGAGACAUGACAUUGAAAAUAUGCCCACCUGAGAAUAAUGUGUUUCUCCUUUUUCUCACAGCUUCAGUGGGAGGUGCAUUUGAAUCAGAUAAAGAAUCAGUGUUGACCUUCACUAAUGGAAAACGAUUUUUUUUUUUUUAUCAUGAAGUAUGAUAAUACGACAGGUACUAUGAAAUACUCCCUUUCUUCUCAACUCUGACAAUGAUUCAGAAUUCAGACAUGAAAUAACACUGUUUAAUUCCAUGUCAGAUACUUCCAAUAGGUUGUCAGUUGGCCACAACGUUAUGAAGAUGGUGCCCAAACCUAUUUCAUGCUGUACAUAUUUCAUCUCACCACUCAUCUGUCAGCUAUGAGCCCAGUGCCAGGCGUUCCCCCUCCCUGCCCCCUGGAUUUUAUUAUCAUGCCCUUUAGAAAGCCGCAAUCCCACCAAUUUGUUAUAGUCACUAAUGGCAACGUGCUUGUGCUGGCAUGUGGUUGUUAAACUAGGGUUGGUUUUGAUAACUUUAGACUACUUCUGUCCCGUGUGAUUUCAGUUUAGCAAGAAAAAUUGUUAUCUCCUGCUGGUUCCCUCCUAAAACUCUGUGCUCAGGUAUUGCUGGGCUUAAGCAACCCUGCUCUUUCUCCUUCCCUUCCCUUGCACUCUGUGGUAGGUGCAGUUUUUCAGAUGAUUAGAAAAUAAUGAACAACAACAGCAACAACAGAAAUACCUCCAAUCCCCCCAAACUUGUUUAUUUUGUAGAGUUUUUUUUUAAAUGAUUCAAAUAAUAGGAAUCUAUUGUAUAUCUUGUCCACCCACAGAACUGCAAGGAAGGAAAGCAAGAAGAAGCAAAAUGUCCAGGACUUAGGACUUUCAGCCCAGGAGCUUAAGUUUUUUUCUGUAAUUUCUGUCAAACUGUAAAUCUUAAAGCCAGAUUGUACUACAUUUUGCAGUUAAUAAUAAUCAAGUUUAAAUUAUACCCACUUGCUUUUUCAAGCAAGUGUCUCAGCAAAUAUUUUUGAACUUCAGUAAUCUUUUGUGGGUUUUCUUGUUGUUAGUUUGGUAGCUUUUACUGUUGGAUUAUAUCUCCAGGGAUCAUGUACUUAUCAAUUUCAUGGUAGCUAGGGGUGCAGUUUGUGGAUGACCUGUUGUUAUGCCAUUAGCUCUGUAAGAACCCCAUAUUUUGUCACUUGUGAUGUCGCUUAAUGAGAAACAAGACUCUCACUUUUUAGUAACUCUUCAGAGAGUGUGCUGUUAGAACCAUUUUUUUUCUUUCUUACACAUGCAUGUAUCACAAGGGCAACAUUCCCAACUUUUAUUCGCAUCUUUUAUUGCUGCUGAGCUCAACUGAUGAUUUCAUUCAUGUAGUUGUUUUUCAAAAAUUAAUUUUUAUGGAGGAUG